UCAAUCUCGUGCGGCUAUAUAUACCGCCGGUCCCUCUAAGAAGAUUUUCAUUGUACGCCGGUAGUGAAGACCGCGAAACGCGCGACCGCGACGCGAACGCCGCGGGACACGCGCACGCGGACCCUCGUGAUACCGGUUGCACGUCUAUUUAAUAGGCUAGAGUUACGUUCGUUAC
rnacentral:rRNA from 1 species